CAGAGGGCAGGGCCUCAGAGGCAAGGGCACACUGGAAUAUCCACUGCCAUCGAUAAGAGGCCAUCGAUACCAGCCCACACAUCCCCCACCCUCAGGGAGCCCAGGGCAGCAGAUCCUUGGACCCUGACGGCAGAUGAGGCCUGGGUCAGGCCCCGCGGGCAUUAAGGCCCUAGAAUGGAAGAGCUUUGGCCCCAGGCAGUGCUGGUCCCUACUGCUGCUGCUGGGUCUGGCUGUAGGCUCCCAUGGCCUGUCUCCCUCCACAACAGCUCCAAGGACCAGGGCUCUGGGCCCAGGUGCCCCAGCAGGAAGCCUGUGGGACAGGUUCCUGCUCUGGCUUGGCCCCCAGGGGGCAGGUCCCAGGUGCUGGCCUGGCAGGUUUGGGGCUGAGCCUCAGUCACCAUGGUUUGUCUUUGGCCAAGGGACCGAACUCACCGUCCUAGGCCAGCCCAAGUCUGCACCCUCAGUCGUUCUAUUCCCACCCUCUUCUAAGGAGGUCAGCACCAAGAAGGCCACGCUGGUGUGUCUCAUCAGUGACUUCUACCCCAGUGGCCUAAUGGUGUCCUGGAAGGCAGAUGGCACCCCGGUCACCCAGGGUGUGGAGACCACGAAACCCUUGAAGCAGACCAACCACAAGUACACGGCCAGCAGUUACCUCAGCCUGUCGCUCGACAAGUGGCAGUCCCACAGCUGGUUCAGCUGCCAGGUCACACAUGAAGGGGGCACCGUAGAGAAGGCAGUGUCCCCUACACAAUGUCCUUAGGCUCCUUGAGUUUCUCCCACCCCUGAAAGUCUGAAGCCACUGUACCCUGAGGAGAAAAAUCUUCUACC